GACGAACGCUGGCGGCGUGCCUAGUACAUGCAAGUUGAGCGGUGAAGGUCGGUACUUGUACCAACUGGAUGAGCCGCGAACGGGAGAGUAACGCGAGUGGACUCUGCCUUUGAGCGGGGGACCACAUUUGGAAACGAAUGCUAAUACCGCAUAAGAACCUUAAGCACAAGUUUUAUGUGUGAAAGUUGCAGUUGCAUCACUCAAAGAUGAUCCCGCGUUGUAUUAGCUGGUUGGUGAGGUAAAGGCUCACCAAGGCGGUGAUACAUAGCCGACCUGAGAGGGUGAGCAGCCACAUUGGGACUGAGACACGGCCCAAACGCCUACAGGAGGCAGCAGUAGGGAAUCUUCGGCAAUGGGCGAAAGUCUGACCGAGCAACGCCGCGUGAGUGAAGAAGGUUUUCGGAUCGUAAAACUCUGUUGGUAGGGAAGAACGUUGGUGCGAGUGGAAAGCUCAGCAAGUGACGGUAACUAGCAAGAAAGCGACGGCUAACUACGUG
rnacentral:rRNA from 1 species